AGAGUUUGAUCCUGGCUCAGAGCGAACGCUGGCGGCGUGCUUAACACAUGCAAGUCACACGGAGUUAUUGAAGGGUAACUGGAGAUAACUAAGUGGCGGACGGGUGAGUAACGCGUAGGUGACCUGCCCUUGUGACUGGGAUAACCAUUGGAAACGGUGGCUAAUACCGGAUAAGACCACGACUAGGUAAUAGCAGUGGUAAAAGGAGAAAUCUGCACAGGGACGGGCCUGCGUCCUAUCAGGUAGUUGGUGGGGUAAUAGCCUACCAAGCCUAAGACGGGUAGCCGGUCUGAGAGGAUGGACGGCCACACUGGAACUGAGACACGGUCCAGACUCCUACGGGAGGCAGCAGUGAGGAAUUUUGCGCAAUGGGUGAAAACCUGACGCAGCGACGCCGCGUGGGGGAUGAAGGCCUUCGGGUUGUAAACCCCUUUUGUAAGGGAAGAUAAUGACGGUACCUUAAGAAUAAGCCACGGCUAACUCUGUGCCAGCAGCCGCGGUAAGACAGAGGUGGCAAGCGUUGCUCGGAAUCACUGGGCUUAAAGGGCGCGUAGGCGGUUAAUCAAGUUCAGGGUGGAAUGCAUGGGCUCAACCUGUGAAUUGCCUUGAAAACUGAUUGACUUGAGUAAGCGAGGGGAUGGC
rnacentral:rRNA from 1 species